CGGAUAGAUGCGCGGCUAUCUGCAGUCGAGCGAAUGAAUUAAAUCUUGCUCUUAUGAAGUUAGCGGCGGACGGGUGAGUAACACGUGGCUAACCUGCCCAUAAGACUGGCAUAACUCCGGGAAACCGGGGCUAAUACCGGAUAACAUUUUGAACCGGAUGGAUCUAAAUUGAAAGGCGGCUUCGACUGUCCCUUAUGGAUGGACCCACGUCGCAUUAUCUAGGUGGUGAGGUAACGGCUCACCAAGGUGACCAUGCAUAACCGACCUGAGAGGGUGAUCGGCCACACUGGGACUGAGACACGGCCCAGACUCCUACGGGAGGCAGCAAUAGGGAAUCUUCCGCAGUGGACGAAAGUCUGACGGAGCAACGCCGCGUGAGUGAUGAAGGCUUUCGGGUCGU
rnacentral:rRNA from 1 species